UUUCCGUAGGUGAACCUGCGGAAGGAUCAUUCAUAAUAAAGUGUUUUAUGGCACUUUUAAAAAUCCGUAUCCACCUUGUGUGCAAUGUUAGAUCUCGUCAAUCUUGGCGAGAUUUUUAUACAUCAACUCAUUCUUUAACUAAUUUGUCUGAAAAAUAUUAUGAAUACUUAAUUCAAAAUACAACUUUCAACAACGGAUCUCUUGGCUCUC
rnacentral:misc_RNA from 1 species